GCAACUGUAGCUCAACUGGAUAGAGCACCACUUUCCGAAGGUGGGGGUUGGAAGUUCAAGUCUUCCCAGUUGCACCA
rnacentral:tRNA from 1 species